GGCCCUGACCAGCAUAACUGGUAGAGCAUGGUGGCAUUAGCGUUGCCAAGGUUAGGGGUUCGAUUCCCACUCACUGGGACCA